AUUGAACGCUGGCGGCAGGCUUAACACAUGCAAGUCGAGCGGAGAUGAGGUGCUCGCACCUUAUCUUAGCGGCGGACGGGUGAGUAAUGCUUAGGAAUCUGCCUAUUAGUGGGGGACAACAUUCCGAAAGGAAUGCUAAUACCGCAUACGUCCUACGGGAGAAAGCAGGGGAUCUUCGGACCUUGCGCUAAUAGAUGAGCCUAAGUCGGAUUCGCUAGUUGGGGGGGUAAAGGCCUACCAAGGCGACGAUCUGUAGCGGGUCUGAGAGGAUGAUCCGCCACACUGGGACUGAGACACGGCCCAGACUCCUACGGGAGGCAGCAGUGGGGAAUAUGGGACAAUGGGGGGAACCCUGAUCCAGCCAUGCCGCGUGUGUGAAGAAGGCCUUAUGGUUGUAAAGCACUUUAAGCGAGGAGGAGGCUACUGAGACUAAUACUCUUGGAUAGUGGACGUUACUCGCAGAAUAAGCACCGGCUAACUCUGUGCCAGCCGCCGCGGUAACAC
rnacentral:rRNA from 1 species